rnacentral:rRNA from 1 species
AGAGUUUGAUCAUGGCUCAGGACGAACGCUGGCGGCGUGCUUAACACAUGCAAGUCGAGCGAGAAAGCACCUUCGGGUGUGAGUACAGCGGCGAACGGGUGAGUAACACGUGGGCAACCUGCCCUAGAGACUGGGAUAACGUCCCGAAAGGGACGCUAAUACCGGAUGAUGCGCGAUCUGCCAAGUAGGUCGCGCCAAAUGGUAGCUUCGGCUUCUGCUCUGGGAUAGGCCCGCGCCGGAUUAGCUUGUUGGUGGGGUAACGGCCUACCAAGGCGACGAUCCGUAGCUGGUCUGAGAGGACGAUCAGCCACACUGGGACUGAGACACGGCCCAGACUCCUACGGGAGGCAGCAGUGGGGAAUCUUGCGCAAUGGGCGAAAGCCUGACGCAGCAACGCCGCGUGAGCGAAGACGGCCUUCGGGUUGUAAAGCUCUGUCAGGAGGGACGAAGCCACUCAGGUGAAUAGCCGAGAGGGUGACGGUACCUCCAGAGGAAGCCCCGGCUAACUACGUGCCAGCAGCCGCGGUAAUACGUAGGGGGCAAGCGUUGUCCGGAAUCAUUGGGCGUAAAGCGCGUGUAGGCGGCCAUCCAAGUCCGAUGUGAAAGCUCGGGGCUCAACCCCGAGUCUGCAUUGGAAACUGUAUGGCUUGAGUCCGGAAGAGGAGACUGGAAUUCCUGGUGUAGCGGUGAAAUGCGCAGAUAUCAGGAAGAACACCGGUGGCGAAGGCGGGUCUCUGGGACGGUACUGACGCUGANNNNCGAAAGCGUGGGGAGCAAACAGGAUUAGAUACCCUAGUAGUCC